AAUUAGAGUUUUGACCCCAAUUUUACGGUUCACUGAUAGAAAAUGAUAGUGCAAAUUUCAGGUUAAAGUUUUUGGCUUCAGGUUAAAGUUGGUCAAGGUAGUUUUUGAUGAAGUUGAAGUCCAAUCAACUUGAAACUUAGUAUACAUGUGCCCUAUGAUAUGAUCUUUCUAAUUUAAAUGCCAAAUUAGAGUUUUGACCCCAAUUUUACGGUUCACUGAACAUAGAAAAUGAUAGUGC
rnacentral:lncRNA from 1 species